UACAGAGGUGGCAAGCGUUGUUCGGAAUUACUGGGCGUAAAGGGCGCGUAGGCGGCCUUCUAAGUCAGACGUGAAAUCCCCCGGCUUAACCUGGGAACUGCGUCUGAUACUGGGAGGCUCGAGUAUGGGAGAGGGAUGUAGAAUUCCAGGUGUAGCGGUGAAAUGCGUAGAUAUCGGGAGGAACACCUGUGGCGAAAGCGGCGCACUGGACCAUAACUGACGCUGAGGCGCGAAAGCUAGGGGAGCAAACAGG
rnacentral:rRNA from 1 species